UUGUGUACCCACCUCUGUUGCUUUGGCGGGCCGCGGUCCUCCGCGGCCGCCCUCCGUCCGGGGGGUGGCCAGCGCCCGCCAGAGGACCAUCAAACUCCGGUCAGUGAACGUUGCCGUCUGAAAAACAAUCAAUAAACUAAAACUUUCAACAACGGAUCUCUUGGUUCUGGCAUCGAUGAAGAACGCAGCGAAAUGCGAUAAGUAAUGUGAAUUGCAGAAUUCAGUGAAUCAUCGAAUCUUUGAACGCACAUUGCGCCCCUCGGUAUUCCGAGGGGCAUGUCUGUUCGAGCGUCAUUACAACCCUCAAGCUCUGCUUGGUGUUGGGCACCGCCCUUCCGCGGGCGCGCCUCAAAGACCUCGGCGGUGGCGUCUUGCCUCGAGCGUAGUAGAAAACACCUCGCUUUGGAGCGCACGGCGCCGCCCGCCGGACGAACCUUUUGAACUUUCUCAAGGUUGACCUCGGAUCAGGUAGG
rnacentral:rRNA from 1 species